rnacentral:rRNA from 1 species
CCUACGGGAGGCAGCAGUGAGGAAUAUUGGGCAAUGGGCGGGAGACUGAACCAGCCAAGCCGCGUGAGGGAUGAAGGUACAGAGGAUCGUAAACCUCUUUUGUCAGGGAACAAAGGCGGGGACGUGUCCCCGGAUGAGUGUACCUGAAGAAAAAGCAUCGGCUAACUCCGUGCCAGCAGCCGCGGUAAUACGGAGGAUGCGAGCGUUAUCCGGAUUUAGUGGGUUAAAGGGGUGUGCAGGCGGUCUGUUAAGUCAGCGGUCAAAGCCCGGGGCUCAACCCCGGCCCGCCGUUGAAACUGGCAGUCUCGAGUUGGAGAGAAGUAUGCGGAAUGCGCGGUGUAGCGGUGAAAUGCAUAGAUAUCGCGCAGAACUCCGAUUGCGAAGGCAGCAUGCCGGCUCCACACUGACGCUGAGGCACGAAAGCGUGGGUAUCGAACAGGAUUAGAUACCCUGGUAGUC